UAGUAACGGCGAGUGAAGCGGGAUGAGCUCAAGCUUAAAAUCUCCGUGCAAAUUUUGCAUGGCGAAUUGUAGUCUAUAGAGGCGUGAUUAGCGUAGGCACUUGGGGCAAGUUCCUUGGAAGAGGACAGCAUCGAGGGUGAUACUCCCGUUUAUCUCCGAGUUGCUUAUGCGUACAAUCCGUUUUCUUUGAGUCGCGUUGUUUGAGAAUGCAGCGCAAAGUAGGUGGUAAAUUCCAUCUAAAGCUAAAUAUUGGUGCGAGACCGAUAGCAAACAAGUACCGUGAGGGAAAGAUGAAAAGAACUUUGAAAAGAGAGUUAAAGAGUACCUGAAACUGCUGAAAGGGAACCAAAUCGUUUCCAGUGUCUAUAAUCCGUGGUAUAUUUCAUUGGCGAAUGUGUGCGUGCGUGUGCUAUGGCAGCGGCUUUUUGCUGCGCCUUGUGCGUGUGUGCACUUUCUCGCUGAUGCCCUGUACCGUGGUGGGACGUCAAUGUCGGUUCGUAAAUUGCGGGAAAUAACUGCCGAGGAGGUAGGGCGAACGCUUGCGUUUGUCUGUUAUAUCUUGGCGGACGUAGUAGUCGCGGUUGGGACUGAGGUGCCUACAAUGUGCUUAUGAGUAGAAUUGAUUCUCCGUGUGCGCCGUGUGCGGAUAGCUUGCUAUGCGUGUGUGGCUGCGUGUGGAU
rnacentral:rRNA from 1 species